CAGUCGCCGCGGUAAUACGAAGGGUGCAAGCGUUAAUCGGAGUUACUGGGCGUAAAGCGUGCGUAGGCGGUGAGUUAAGUCUGCUGUGAAAUCCCCGGGCUCAACCUGGGAAUGGCAGUGGAUACUGGCUCGCUAGAGUGUGUCAUAGGAUGGUGGAAUUUCCGGUGUAGCGGUGAAAUGCGUAGAGAUCGGGAGGAACAUCAGUGGCGAAGGCGGCCAUCUGGGACAACACUGACGCUGAGGCACGAAAGCGUGGGGAGCAAACAGGAUUAGAUACCCCGGUAGUCCCUGUCUCUUAUAC
rnacentral:rRNA from 1 species